UUUCGCAAUGCCCGAAAGGGUGACGAAGCGACGCCGCGUGGGUGAGGAAGGCCCUCGGGUUGUAAAACCCUGUCAGGAGUUAAGAAAUGUAGGUGCGCUAAUAUCGCACUUAUUUGACGAAGGCUCCAAAGGAAGUCACGGCUAACUCUGUGCCAGCAGCCGCGGUAAUACAGAGGUGGCAAGCGUUGUUCGGUAUUAUUGGGCGUAAAGAGCACGUAGGUGGUUUUGUAAGUCAGAUGUGAAAGCCUUCUGUUCAAAGGAAGAACGGCAUCUGAAACUGCUGAUCUUGAGUGUAGGAGGGGAGAGUGGAACUUCUGGUGGAGCGGUGAAAUGCGUAGAUAUCAGAAGGAACGUCGGCGGCGAAAGCGACUCUCUGGCCUAUUACUGACACUGAGUGUGCGAAAGUUAGGGGAGCAAACGGGAUUAGAUACCCCGGUAGUCCUAACCGUAAACGAUGGGCACUAAGUAGAGGGGUUUU
rnacentral:rRNA from 1 species